AAACAAAUUCCUAAAUUCUCCUGGAGGAUCUGGUGGAUUUGGAAAUCCAAAGAUAUGGUUUACCUAUGAAGAACUAGUUAAGGCUACUGGUGACUUCUCGGCUGAGAAUUUGUUGGGGGCAGGUGGAUUUGGUUCUGUAUACAAAGGAUGUCUACCAGAUGGGAGGGAUGUAGCAGUAAAGCAGCUAGAUAUUGGUGGGCGCCAGGGGGACCGGG
rnacentral:misc_RNA from 1 species